rnacentral:rRNA from 1 species
UACAGAGGUGCCAAGCGUUAGGCGGAAUCACUGGGCUUAAAGCGCGCGUAGGCGGAUGUUUAAGUGUCUUGUGAAAUCCCACGGCUCAACCGUGGAACUGCUGGGCAUACUGGACAUCUCGAGGCACUCAGGGGCGAGCGGAACAAGUGGUGGAGCGGUGAAAUGCGUAGAUAUCAAGAGGAACACCUGAGGUGAAGACGGGUUGCUGGGCUGACACUGACGCUGAGGCGCGAAAGCCAGGGGAGCAAACGGG